CGAACCAAUUUUUUUUUUUUAAAAAUCAAAAGUGGGCCGGGUUGGGUUGACUCGUUUUUAAAGUGGGUUAAGGUAGGUCGCCCCACAUGGGCCAGGCUGGUCCAUUUUGAGAGCUCUAACAAAAGCACUCUGUUCAGCUAACACUAGCAUUGAGAGAUGAAAGCCAGGGGAGCAAAUGGGAUUAAAUACCCUAGUAGUCCUAUUCAUAAACGAUGGAUACUAGGCAUUGCGCAUAUUGACCCGUGCAAUAUUGUAACCAACGCGUCAAGUAUCUCAUUUGAGGAGUAUGUCCGCAAGAAUGAAACUUAAAGGAAUUCACAAGGACCUUAAUUAAAAAAUAUUUGAGGUAACUCAUGGAAGUUUUCUCGAACAUAAAAAAAAAUAUUUU
rfam:Cajanus cajan CcLG11_2200, whole genome shotgun sequence.